rnacentral:rRNA from 1 species
AGCGAACGCUGGCGGCAGGCCUAACACAUGCAAGUCGAACGAACCCUUCGGGGUUAGUGGCGGACGGGUGAGUAACACGUGGGAACGUGCCUUUAGGUUCGGAAUAACUCAGGGAAACUUGUGCUAAUGCCGAAUGUGCCCUUCGGGGGAAAGAUUUAUCGCCUUUAGAGCGGCCCGUGUCUGAUUAGCUAGUUGGUGAGGUAAUGGCUCACCAAGGCGACGAUCGGUAGCUGGUCUGAGAGGAUGACCAGCCACAUUGGGACUGAGACACGGCCCAAACUCCUACGGGAGGCAGCAGUGGGGAAUCUUGCGCAAUGGGCGAAAGCCUGACGCAGCCAUGCCGCGUGAAUGAUGAAGGUCUUAGGAUUGUAAAAUUCUUUCACCGGGGACGAUAAUGACGGUACCCGGAGAAGAAGCCCCGGCUAACUUCGUGCCAGCAGCCGCCGUAAAAC